UAGCAUAAGCCUUUCAGAAGCCAGCCUCUCCAAAGCAUGUCCAGCAGCAGAGUCAGGAGAUUCAUCAACCCUGCGAAAGUGUGUGCCAAAUACUUGUCAGAGGACAGUCAUGUGCCAGGCUGUUUCUGGCAGCAAUGUUGCUACUUCCAUUGAACAUUUACACUCACUGGUUUUUGAAUGAAACUGCAACAGCCCUGUUUUGAACUGCAAACCUGAUGGACUCAGAUUCUCACUGCUGCUAACCUGCGAGUCCCUGCUGCAGAACCAGCUCAAUUUAACUAUGUAAUGGUGACAAGAUGGCAACUCUUCAUCUGGCUAGCAGCAAGGUGCUUCAGAAAGCUGUGUUCUUAGCUACUGCUUCUCUACACAUCUUUCCCAGUUGCCUCUUCACUCUGCUGUUAAUGAAGAGGAUUUGAAAUCAUAAGCAGUUACAGACCUCCUGAAGCAAUGCAGAAGUGAAAGGAAGGUUGCUACUGACAGAGAUGAAUAAAAGUACCCGUGGGAGAAGGGAACUCUUCUUCAGCAUCCUCUUCCAGCAAGGAAAAAAUCUCCUUAGGUUAUGCUUUUGACUGGUCUGAACUGAACGAACGUCCAUUCUUUGAUGAUGCAAGGGGUCCUUUUUAGCCAUAAAAAGGGAACAAAACCUACAUUCUCUACCUUGUUUAAAACACAUGUUGUGGUGGACAGGCAAAAUGAACGCCAAGCAUUCAGGCCUACAAAUAAACUCGGCAAGAUGGUAUAGCAUGUUGCUUCCAUUGGGAUCUCAGGAGA